GCAGUAAUUUUCCAGUGAAAUGAGAUACAACAUUCCUUCCAAUAAACAGAUGAAGAAAAGAGGAGACCCUGUCCUUCUGUCAGAGGGUAACACAUGAUCUGGCCUGGCUGACUUCAGCUUUCAGGACAGGGCCAGCUUUGCCCAGGUUGGCAGAGCAUUUCCUACUGCAGCAAAAACAGGAGCGUCACUACAUGAAUGGCACUCAGCAGGUGGGGUACCUGGCCAGGUUCAUCUGGGAGAUCUGUUCUUACCAC